UACGUAGGGAGCAAGCGUUAUCCGGAUUUACUGGGUGUAAAGGGCGCGUAGGCGGGAUGGCAAGUCAGAUGUGAAAUCCAGGGGCUCAACCCCUGAACUGCAUUUGAAACUGUCGUUCUUGAGUACUGGAGAGGUUGACGGAAUUCCUAGUGUAGCGGUGAAAUGCGUAGAUAUUAGGAGGAACGCCGGUGGCGAAGGCGGCCUGCUGGACUGCAACUGACGUUGAGGCCCGAAAGCGUGGGGAGCAAACAGG
rnacentral:rRNA from 1 species